UACGUAGGGCGCAAGCGUUAUCCGGAAUUAUUGGGCGUAAAGAGCUCGUAGGCGGUCUGUCACGUCGGCUGUGAAAACCCGGGGCUCAACCCCGGGCCUGCAGUCGAUACGGGCAGACUAGAGUUCGGUAGGGGAGACUGGAAUUCCUGGUGUAGCGGUGAAAUGCGCAGAUAUCAGGAGGAACACCGGUGGCGAAGGCGGGUCUCUGGGCCGAUACUGACGCUGAGGAGCGAAAGCGUGGGGAGCGAACAGG
rnacentral:rRNA from 1 species